CCUACGGGUGGCAGCAGUGAGGAAUAUUGGUCAAUGGGCGGGAGCCUGAACCAGCCAAGUCGCGUGAGGGACGACGGUCCUAUGGAUUGUAAACCUCUUUUGUCGGUGAACAAAGGCGCCCACGGGUGGGCGGAUGAGUGUACACGAAGAAAAAGCAUCGGCUAACUCCGUGCCAGCAGCCGCGGUAAUACGUAGGGAGCAAGCGUUGUCCGGAUUUACUGGGUGUAAAGGGUGCGUAGGCGGCCCUGCAAGUCAGAAGUGAAAUCCAUGGGCUUAACCCGUGAACUGCUUUUGAAACUGUAGGGCUUGAGUGAAGUAGAGGCAGGCGGAAUUCCCGGUGUAGCGGUGAAAUGCGUAGAGAUCGGGAGGAACACCAGUGGCGAAGGCGGCCUGCUGGGCUUUAACUGACGCUGAAGCACGAAAGCGUGGGUAGCAAACAGGAUUAGAUACCCCUGUAGUC
rnacentral:rRNA from 1 species